rnacentral:rRNA from 1 species
AGACCCGAAACCCGGUGAUCUAGCCAUGGGCAGGUUGAAGGUUGGGUAACACUAACUGGAGGACCGAACCGACUAAUGUUGAAAAAUUAGCGGAUGACCUGUGGCUGGGGGUGAAAGGCCAAUCAAACCGGGAGAUAGCUGGUUCUCCCCGAAAGCUAUUUAGGUAGCGCCUCGUGAAUUCAUCUCCGGGGGUAGAGCACUGUUUCGGCUAGGGGGCCAUCCCGGCUUACCAACCCGAUGCAAACUGCGAAUACCGGAGAAUGUUAUCACGGGAGACACACGGCGGGUGCUAACGUCCGUCGUGAAGAGGGAAACAACCCAGACCGCCAGCUAAGGUCCCAAAGUCAUGGUUAAGUGGGAAACGAUGUGGGAAGGCCCAGACAGCCAGGAUGUUGGCUUAGAAGCAGCCAUCAUUUAAAGAAAGCGUAAUAGCUCACUGGUCGAGUCGGCCUGCGCGGAAGAUGUAACGGGGCUAAACCAUGCACCGAAGCUGCGGCAGCGACACUCAGGUGUUGUUGGGUAGGGGAGCGUUCUGUAAGCCUGCGAAGGUGGCCUGUGAGGGUUGCUGGAGGUAUCAGAAGUGCGAAUGCUGACAUAAGUAACGAUAAAGCGGGUGAAAAGCCCGCUCGCCGGAAGACCAAGGGUUCCUGUCCAACGUUAAUCGGGGCAGGGUGAGUCGACCCCUAAGGCGAGGCCGAAAGGCGUAGUCGAUGGGAAACGGGUUAAUAUUCCCGUACUUGGUGUUACUGCGAAGGGGGGACGGAGAAGGCUAUGUUGGCCGGGCGACGGUUGUCCCGGUUUAAGCGUGUAGGCUGGUUUUCCAGGCAAAUCCGGAAAAUCAAGGCUGAGGCGUGACGACGAGGCACUACGGUGCUGAAGCAACAAAUGCCCUGCUUCCAGGAAAAGCCUCUAAGCAUCAGGUAACAC